GGUGGGCACUCUAAGGAGACUGCCGGUGACAAACCGGAGGAAGGUGGGGAUGACGUCAAGUCAUCAUGGCCCUUACGGCCUGGGCUACACACGUGCUACAAUGGUCGGUACAGAGGGUUGCCAAGCCGCGAGGUGGAGCUAAUCUCACAAAACCGAUCGUAGUCCGGAUCGCAGUCUGCAACUCGACUGCGUGAAGUCGGAAUCGCUAGUAAUCGCGAAUCAGAAUGUCGCGGUGAAUACGUUCCCGGGCCUUGUACACACCGCCCGUCACACCAUGGGAGUGGGUUGCACCAGAAGUAGCUAGUCUAACCUUCGGGAGGACGGUUACCACGGUGUGAUUCAUGACUGGGGUGAAGUCGUAACAAGGUAGCCGUAGGGGAACCUGCGGCUGGAUCACCUCCUUA
rnacentral:rRNA from 1 species